UGCCUAUAACAUAGCAUUAAUGCACCAGAUCCCAUUAGAACUCUACAGUUAAGCAUGCUUAGGCUAGAGUAGUACUGGUGUUAGCGAUAUUUCUUGUAAGGGGGUUAGAAUGCAA
rnacentral:rRNA from 1 species